AGAGUUUGAUCAUGGCUCAGGAUGAAAGCUGGCGGCGUGCCUAACACAUGCAAGUCGAGCGAUUUACUUCGGUAAAGAGCGGCGGACGGGUGAGUAACGCGUGGGUAACCUGCCCUAUACACACGGAUAACGUACCGAAAGGUACGCUAAUACGAGAUAACAUAUUUUUAUCGCAUGGUAAGAAUAUCAAAGCUUCGGCGGUAUAGGAUGGACCCGCGUCUGAUUAGCUAGUUGGUAAGGUAACGGCUUACCAAGGCGACGAUCAGUAGCCGACCUGAGAGGGUGAUCGGCCACAUUGGAACUGAGACACGGUCCAAACUCCUACGGGAGGCAGCAGUGGGGAAUAUUGCACAAUGGGCGAAAGCCUGAUGCAGCAACGCCGCGUGAGCGAUGAAGGCCUUCGGGUCGUAAAGCUCUGUCCUCAAGGAAGAUAAUGACGGUACUUGAGGAGGAAGCCCCGGCUAACUACGUGCCAGCAGCCGCGGUAAUUC
rnacentral:rRNA from 1 species